AUGAGAAGUGCAUCAACGUGUACAUAUUCCCAAGAUACCGCGUUGAAAGAAGACCAAAAAAGCAAGCUGUCACAUGACAUAGUGACAUUCAAUUCUCCAAGAGUUUUGAGUGAUUGGCCUCAUUCCACACAAGGGGAGACUGAGGAGCAGCAGUGGAAGGGGGCCUUUUUUCGAAACCACAUGGAUUCUGGAUCUUCGAUGAGAACCAUGUUUCUGGUUCUCUCUCCUUACAGACACAUGUCAAAGGCACACUCCCCUGCUGUUUUGGAGUGUCAUAUGACUCGGGACUCAUUUGGGAUCAUGGAGUGUGAGCAAAAGGGAAGGGUCAUGAUUUCCUCGCAGCUGUGACAAAACCAGUAUUCCAGACAGCGGCUGUCCCGGCAGUCUCAGUCCUGGAGUGAGGACAUAGGAAGGCAGAGAUCCAGCCGAGCCAUGAUGGACACAGAGCAAACGUGAGAAAUAAUAGCACUCGGUUGUCUCAUACCCCUGGGAGCUGGGUGCUAUUUGUUACUGAGGCAUAACCUAGCCUAUCCUGACUCUAAGCCCCAAUGCCAGGCUUUUUACUCCACCGAGUGAAGCCAGAAUGGGAGGUCAGCUCUCCCAAAUCCAAGUUCACCAUUUCACUCUGGUUCUCCUUCUUCUAUUAGGAGUUCCUCGACUUUCAUAAUUCCUAGUUUGCAGAACAGGAGUUUAUGUUUUGGAGAAGUCACUUGCCUGAAGGCACAGCCCCAUUAAGUAGCCUCAUGAUGUCUACCUUAGUAUCAGAGCUCAUCUGAGCUUCCCUUCCUUCUCCUUCCUGUUCCUUGUCCUGCAGGAAAUCAUACAGUCUAGUGAUGAGUAGUAUUGGCUGUGAAGGCGGCCUGCCUGGGUUCAAAGGUGACUUUGAGGGAAUCCCUGGGUGGCUCAGCAGUUUGGCGUCUGCCUUCGGCCCAAGGCGUAAUCCUGGAGUCGGGAUCGAGUCCCUUGUCGGGCUCCUUGCAAGGAGCAUGUUUCUCUUUUGCCUGUGUCUCUGCCUCUCUUCCUCUCUGUCUCUCAUAAAUGAAUAAAUAAAAUCUUUAAAAAAUAAAAAACAAAGGUGACUUUGAGUGAACAUCUUAGAACCUUCCUCCUCUGUAAUGGGGAUGUCACUAGUAG
rnacentral:lncRNA from 1 species